rnacentral:rRNA from 1 species
UAUUAUUAGUAUAAAUAAUGAUUGGGGACUACGAGCAAUGGCUUAAAAACCCAAGAUUUUGGCGGUGUUUUAUUCAAUCAGGGGAAUCUGUCUUAUAAUCGAUAACCCACGAAAAAAUAACCUUAUCCUUGAAAGCAACAGUUUGUGUACUGCCGUCCAAUGGGACCUUAAGGUUACCCGUAAUAAAUUACUAUAAAUUUUACGUCAGGUCAAAGUGCAGCUAACGGAAAGGAAAAGAUGGAUUACAAUCUAUAUCAUAGAUGGAGUUAUAAUAUAAAAUUAUAAUGAAAAAGAACUUGAUAGUAAUUUUAUUAACAAAAUAAAAUGAAUAAAGAACUUAAAACAAGCACACAU